GUUUAAGCCCGUUCCUCAAACCUGCUUCUUAUGUAAUCGUUAGGUAGAAUAUCUAUUUAGUUGUCUGCUAACUGAUCUGUAUAUGAGCAUUGAGCAUGGCGAUGUUUAAAGGAAAGCAGAAACAUGAUUUGUACAUGCAAAUUAAAGUAUGAUACUAAAUGCAAAGAGAAAAGCAUUAAUACAUGGUUUAUACAUGAACUCCUAUACAUUUGUUAUUGGCGUUUAUUGACAAGGUUUUCGAUAAGUAGAAGUAAAGAGUACAAAACCUUUUGUAAAGAGCUCCACACACCAGCAUAUACAAUAUGCUUUUCCCACAAUUGAUCAGAGCAACAAACACGGUCAUACAUGUCUUAUGUCCGAGCUUAGCAGACUAGAUUCUGAAAACAUCUGUCUGGAAUCGCUCGUCAUACAACCUCCAAUGGCCAUACCUCUCCGAAUGGAAGACUGACCGUGGAUUGUAGAAGUUUG
rnacentral:lncRNA from 1 species